ensembl:snRNA U6 U6 spliceosomal RNA
UGUUGGCUUCCGCAGCACUACAUGAAAACUGAAACGAUACAGAGAAGACUAGUAUGGCCCCUGAGCAAGGACGAUGCAAAUGCGUGAAGAGUUCCAUAUUUUU